rnacentral:lncRNA from 1 species
CAGGAGUUCAAGAUCAGCCUAAGCAACAUAGAGAGACCCCUCUCUUAAAAACAAAACAAACGAUCAAAGAAAAAAACAGAAAGUGGAUAAAAAAGAAACCAUGGAAAGGAAAUUCAUUUGGCAAUGAUGUGGUGCACAUUCUAAAGCAUAAAUGCAGUAGUUGAUUCUGUUGGGGUGGGGAUGUGAGUUCUUAAUACUCCUGUUUCCUUCCAGCCUUUCUCCACCCCUCCCCUCACUCCUGCUGGGAAGGAAGAGUGACUCAUGAUUGGGGAGUUUCAAAGUGUCACCCAGCCCCUUCCUCUCAGCUUCCCCUUGGGCAUAAGCCUGCCCACUAAGGGCUUGAAUUCCCAAUUGUGUCUCAAACAAGUGCUGGGGACCCAACAGGCCCCAUGCUAGGUGCUGAGGGAUAUGAGAUUUAAACAUCACAAUCCCUGUCCUUACAGAACUCACAUUUUAGUGGGAGAGACAAAGAAGGGACAUCUAGUACAGUCCAGAGAAGGUCAAAGAAGGCUUCCUGGAGGAGGUGACCUCAAGUAUGAAUGGAGAUUCUUUCAGGCAGUAAAUCAACCCAGAGGAGUCACCAUGGUGGUUGAGACAACUGGAAGUAAUUUAGAAGUAAUUGAGUGAUGCUGGACCAUAAAAGGCAGGGUGGGGGACAGUAAGAAGGAUGCUAAAUAGUGAGGAAUGUUGUGUGCCAGGCUGAGGAGCCUGGGCUUUAUCCCAAGGGCAGUGGGCAAGGGUACAGAGCUUAUGAAGAUUUUAUACGCAGUAGGCAACAUGGCCAUAUUUGUAAUGUGAACAACCACUGCAGGACAGCAAAUAUAUUGGAUGAAGGAACCACAGAUUGCCUGGGUUUCUUAACAGAGCAAUCUCUCCCUGCUCCACCAUCACUAUGUUUUCAUCCGUCUUGCCCUGACAACAUAGGGAUGCUUCCUUCCAAUGAAAUCUCACUUUCUGCCCACUGUGGUCUUCUUCUAACCUCCAAAAACUACCGCCCAGGAGUUUCAAGUAGCAGGAUUUUGAUCUGGCUGCACCUUUGCUCUGUCAACAGUUUUAGCAAAACCGCCUUCCACCUCUGCAGACAAUUUAGAGAUAGCACUUCUGAAAUGGUCUGUGGAUAAAGGAUGUUGCUGCUCUGGGAAAAUGUGUCUGCCUCCUGCCAGCAGGAGACAAAGAGCACUGAAACUGUGCCAAAGGAUGCUGUCCAGAAAGGGAAGGUCAAACAGCCCUCAACAUUCUCUUUGUUGAAGUCUUGCCUUUUUCCAUUUUUACAUUCAAAUCAGCUUCCCCACCCCCAUGUCCUUUGGGUGGGAGGGAGGUUAAAUAAUGCUUCUUAAGAAGAUUAUGUACUUUCCCAAAACUCCACAGUCCUUGCCCACCAGGAGGGAAAAGGUAGUGAAAUAUAAACCAAAAAUAAAAUUCUAAACCCCCCAACCAUCUGAAUGGACUCCCCCUCUCAGUCAAGGGCAUUCCAAAGUUAACCUGAAAAAGUAGUUCAGGCCAUGAUAGGAAGGGGGAUUCAGAUAUGCCUCAUUAUUCCUUCCUUCCUUUUGAAAUUCAGGUCCAGCUGACCAGCAUUAACAUCAACACAGACCUUAAGACUGAUAGGCUCUAAGUCUGAUGAGAAAUAUUUACAACGUAUUCUCUCUGAAGCCUGCUACCUGGAGGCUUCAUCCGCAUGAUAAAACCUUGGUCUCCACAACCCCUUAUCUAACCAGACAUUUCUUUCCACUGAUGCCACGUUUUUAGAUAAUCACUCUUUCAACCAAUUGCCAAUCAGAAAAUCUCUGAAUCUACCUAUGACCUGGAAGCCCCCAAUUCCAGUUGUCCCACCUUUCUGGACCCAACUAAUGUAUAUCUUACAUGUAUUGAUUGAUGUCUUAUGUCUCCCUAAAAUGUAUAAAACCAAGCUGUAGUCUGACCACCUUGGGCACAUAUUCUCAGAAUCUCCUGAGGGCCAUGUCACAGGCCAUUUGUCACUCAUAUUUGGCUCAGAAUAAACCUCUUCAAAUAUUUUACAGAGUUUGAUUCUUUUCAUUGACAGAAGAUACAAGGAUGCCUACGGAAUGGAAUGUAGACCAAAAAAAAAUAAUAAUAGUAAUGUGGCCGCUCCAUCAAGUCCCCCACUCCAUUCUCCUCUAAUUCUGUGGCUGGGCAUAUCAAAGCCUACCUGGUAAAGAGUUGAUGUUCUGUGAAUGAAUGAGACUUUCAUACAGAAUAUUAAAUCUGCAAUAUAAACAGAUAUUCAUCAGAAAACCAUAUACUAUCAUGUACUCCAUAAAUAUAUACACAUACUAUGUAUUCAUAAAAAUUUUUUAAAAACCAA